rnacentral:rRNA from 1 species
GGUCAAGCGAACAAGUGCAUGUGGUGGAUGCCUUGGCGAUCACAGGCGAUGAAGGACGCGGUAGCCUGCGAAAAGCUACGGGGAGCUGGCAAACGAGCUUUGAUCCGUAGAUGUCCGAAUGGGGAAACCCGGCCCUUUUGGGUCAUCCUGGACUGAAUACAUAGGUCCAGUGAAGCGAACGCGGUGAACUGAAACAUCUAAGUAACCGCAGGAAAAGAAAUCAACCGAGAUUCCCAAAGUAGUGGCGAGCGAAAUGGGAUGAGCCUUGCACUCUUUAUUUGUAUUGUUAGCCGAACGCUCUGGAAAGUGCGGCCAUAGCAGGUGAUAGCCCUGUAGGCGAAAACAGUAUGAAAGAACUAGGUGUGCGACAAGUAGGGCGGGACACGUGAAAUCCUGUCUGAAGAUGGGGGGACCAUCCUCCAAGGCUAAAUACUCGUGAUCGACCGAUAGUGAACCAGUACCGUGAGGGAAAGGCGAAAAGAACCCCGGGAGGGGAGUGAAAUAGAUCCUGAAACCGCAUGCAUACAAACAGUCGGAGCCUCGCCUCCAAGGCUAAAUACUCGUGAUCGACCGAUAGUGAACCAGUACCGUGAGGGAAAGGCGAAAAGAACCCCGGGAGGGGAGUGAAAUAGAUCCUGAAACCGCAUGCAUACAAACAGUCGGAGCCUCGCAAGGGGUGACGGCGUACCUUUUGUAUAAUGGGUCAGCGACUUACGUUCAGUAGCAAGCUUAACCGUAUAGGGCAGGCGUAGCGAAAGCGAGUCCGAAUAGGGCGUUCAGUUGCUGGGCGUAGACCCGCCUCCAAGGCUAAAUACUCGUGAUCGACCGAUAGUGAACCAGUACCGUGAGGGAAAGGCGAAAAGAACCCCGGGAGGGGAGUGAAAUAGAUCCUGAAACCGCAUGCAUACAAACAGUCGGAGCCUCGUAAGGGGUGACGGCGUACCUUUUGUAUAAUGGGUCAGCGACUUACGUUCAGUAGCAAGCUUAACCGUAUAGGGCAGGCGUAGCGAAAGCGAGUCCGAAUAGGGCGUUCAGUUGCUGGGCGUAGACCCGNNNNNNNNNNNNNNNNNNNNNNNNNNNNNNNNNNNNNNNNNNNNNNNNNNNNNNNNNNNNNNNNNNNNNNNNNNNNNNNNNNNNNNNNNNNNNNNNNNNNAAGGGGUGACGGCGUACCUUUUGUAUAAUGGGUCAGCGACUUACGUUCAGUAGCAAGCUUAACCGUAUAGGGCAGGCGUAGCGAAAGCGAGUCCGAAUAGGGCGUUCAGUUGCUGGGCGUAGACCCGAAACCAGGUGAUCUAUCCAUGGCCAGGAUGAAGGUGCGGUAACACGUACUGGAGGUCCGAACCCACUAACGUUGAAAAGUUAGGGGAUGAGCUGUGGAUAGGGGUGAAAGGCUAAACAAACCUGGAAAUAGCUGGUUCUCUCCGAAAACUAUUUAGGUAGUGCCUCGUGUCUCACCUUCGGGGGUAGAGCACUGUCAUGGUUGGGGGGUCUAUUGCAGAUUACCCCGCCAUAGCAAACUCCGAAUACCGAAGAGUGCAAUCACGGGAGACAGACAUCGGGUGCUAACGUCCGGUGUCAAGAGGGAAACAACCCAGACCGCCAGCUAAGGUCCCCAAAUAUAGCUAAGUGGGAAACGAAGUGGGAAGGCUAAAACAGUCAGGAGGUUGGCUUAGAAGCAGCCACCCUUUAAAGAAAGCGUAAUAGCUCACUGAUCGAGUCGUCCUGCGCGGAAGAUGUAACGGGGCUAAGCUAUAUACCGAAGCUGCGGAUGCGAGCUUUGCUCGCAUGGUAGGAGAGCGUUCCGUAAGCCUGCGAAGGUGCCUUGUAAAGGGUGCUGGAGGUAUCGGAAGUGCGAAUGCUGACAUGAGUAGCGAUAAAGGGGGUGAAAGGCCCCCUCGCCGUAAGCCCAAGGUUUCCUACGCAACGUUCAUCGGCGUAGGGUGAGUCGGCCCCUAAGGCGAGGCAGAAAUGCGUAGCUGAUGGGAAGCAGGUCAAUAUUCCUGCACCAUUGUUAGAUGCGAUGGGGGGACGGAUCGCGGAAGGUUGUCCGGGUGUUGGAAGUCCCGGUCGCUGCAUUGGAGAAGGCGCUUAGGCAAAUCCGGGCGCGUAAUUCAAGGGUGUGGCGCGAGCUCCUAGGGAGCGAAGCAAUUGGAAGUGGUUCCAAGAAAAGCCUCUAAGCUUCAGUCUAACGAUGACCGUACCGCAAACCGACACAGGUGGGCGAGAUGAGUAUUCUAAGGCGCUUGAGAGAACUCGGGAGAAGGAACUCGGCAAAUUGGUACCGUAACUUCGGGAUAAGGUACGCCCUUGUAGCUUGACUGGCCUGCGCCAGGAGGGUGAAGGGGUUGCAAUAAACUGGUGGCUGCGACUGUUUAAUAAAAACACAGCACUCUGCAAACACGAAAGUGGACGUAUAGGGUGUGACGCCUGCCCGGUGCCGGAAGAUUAAAUGAUGGGGUGCAAGCUCUUGAUUGAAGUCCCGGUAAACGGCGGCCGUAACUAUAACGGUCCUAAGGUAGCGAAAUUCCUUGUCGGGUAAGUUCCGACCUGCACGAAUGGCGUAACGAUGGCCACACUGUCUCCUCCCGAGACUCAGCGAAGUUGAAGUGUUUGUGAUGAUGCAAUCUACCCGCGGCUAGACGGAAAGACCCCAUGAACCUUUACUGUAGCUUUGCAUUGGACUUUGAACCGAUCUGUGUAGGAUAGGUGGGAGGCUAUGAAACCGGAACGCUAGUUUCGGUGGAGCCGUCCUUGAAAUACCACCCUGGUUUGUUUGAGGUUCUAACCUUGGCCCGUGAUCCGGGUCGGGGACAGUGCAUGGUAGGCAGUUUGACUGGGGCGGUCUCCUCCCAAAGCGUAACGGAGGAGUACGAAGGUACGCUAGGUACGGUCGGAAAUCGUGCUGAUAGUGCAAUGGCAUAAGCGUGCUUAACUGCGAGACCGACAAGUCGAGCAGGUGCGAAAGCAGGUCAUAGUGAUCCGGUGGUUCUGUAUGGAAGGGCCAUCGCUCAACGGAUAAAAGGUACUCUGGGGAUAACAGGCUGAUACCGCCCAAGAGUUCAUAUCGACGGCGGUGUUUGGCACCUCGAUGUCGGCUCAUCUCAUCCUGGGGCUGUAGCCGGUCCCAAGGGUAUGGCUGUUCGCCAUUUAAAGAGGUACGUGAGCUGGGUUUAAAACGUCGUGAGACAGUUUGGUCCCUAUCUGCCGUGGGCGUUGGAUAUUUGAAGGGGGCUGCUCCUAGUACGAGAGGACCGGAGUGGACGAACCUCUGGUGUACCGGUUGUCACGCCAGUGGCAUCGCCGGGUAGCUAUGUUCGGAAGAGAUAACCGCUGAAAGCAUCUAAGCGGGAAACUCGCCUUAAGAUGAGAUAUCCCUGGGGACU